UGGGGGACUACCAGGAUUUUCCUAGUACGGCGAGUGACGGGAAUAAGCCCAGCACCGAACCUUAUCCAUGCUUAUGGACAGAGUAAUGUGGUGUUCAAGCUAUAACCUAGAUAGGCUGGUCUACUCGAAGUCCAACUCCGAUUACGGCUUUGGAAUUGAAGCCAUUGAGGGUGAAAGCCCCGUCCGAGUAGAUUUUGAUGCUUAUCCUAGAUGUUAUUGCUUUAGAGUCGGAUUGCUUGAGAAUGCAGUCCAAAGUGGGUGGUAAACUCCAUCCAAGGCUAAAUACUGGCAUGAGUCCGAUAGUAAACAAGUACCGUGAGGGAAAGUUGAAAAGUACUCUGAAGAGAGAGUAAAUAGUACGUGAAACUGUUUGCAUGGAAGCUGGUGGAGUCAAGCUUCUUAGGCUUGGAAUUGGUGCGGAGAAUAUAUAUAUUGUUAAAUGGGCGAAGAGUGUAUCAGCUUGAAAAUGGCUGGAUAGGGUUCUCCUAUUUCAGGCUGUUCAGGGUUGUACGCUUGUAAUGCAUUCUAUAAUUUUGGCCCAUUCUCUUGUACCGUUUCCUUGCCUUAACAUCACGGUCGAUACGCAUAUAUUGUUUGAUAAUCUAACCCUGGCCGUUGUGAAUCUCGGUUCACUGGCCAUGGAAUGGAAAGUGGUGAUAUGUAGACUCCGGUUUACAUGUUUCUUAUUUUUGGUAUUAAAGCCUUGCCGAUUAUCAUUUGUAUUAUAUAAUUAAUUAUGCUUAUCGUUCUUAAUAUUAUUAAUACCCGUAAUGGUUAUU
rnacentral:rRNA from 1 species